rnacentral:rRNA from 1 species
GAAGAUGUAACGGGGCUAAGCUAUACACCGAAGCUGCGGCUACGUACCUUAGGGUACGUGGGGUAGGGGAGCGUUCUGUAAGCCGUUGAAGGUGGUCUGUAAGGGCUGCUGGAGGUAUCAGAAGUGCGAAUGCUGACAUGAGUAACGAUAAAGGGAGUGAAAAACUCCCUCGCCGGAAGACCAAGGGUUCCUGUCCAACGUUAAUCGGGGCAGGGUAAGUCGACUCCUAAGGCGAGGCCGAAAGGCGUAGUCGAUGGGAAACGGGUUAAUAUUCCCGUACUUCUUACAAUUGCGAUGGGGGGACGGAGAAGGCUAGGUGGGCCUGGCGACGGUUGUCCAGGUUCAAGUA